GGACGUGUCUCGGGCGUGACCUUUGAGCAGCUGCGCCACCGGCUCAGCCUCGCGGCGGGGGAAACCCGAGCUCCCAACAAAACGGUUCCAUCUUUGGCUAGGCCUUUGAUGUUAUGUGGUCAACAGGGACUGAGGCUCUUUAAGCCCUUAAAUCUCUAAGGGCUAAAUCUCCUUCCUGAUAUUCGCCCCCAAACCGGUAACGGUUUUCACAUGAUUCAGAUACCUCUCUACCUGCCUGAAGGACUGGAGUGCAAAGUUGAACUUGACUCAGAUAAAUGCAUUGAUCCUUCCCUGGGGAAAAAAGUUUAGACAUCACUAAUAGUAGUUAACUUUUGAGUGCUUCCUCUGUGCUAAGCACGGUUCUAAUCACUUAAAUGUAAUAACUCAUUUAAUCAUCACAACAAUUCUAUGACAUAGGAAUUCUUAUUUCUGCCUAACAGGCACCAAAGAAGGCCCAGAGAGGUUUAACAACUUCCUCAGAAUCACACAGCUUCCAAAUGGUUGGGUUGGGUUUACAUUUAGGCGGUCUUGCUCCAGAGCCAGUGCUCCUAACCUUUGCAAGCCACGAACCUCAAGAAAGUGGAGAAGGAAACGCUGGGAAAUCUGGAAGUCAGACAUGCCUAGUUUAUCUCCCGGGAGCUGACUUCAUUUCUAAACGUAUAGGGGUUUCUUAGAGGAGCUUCAGAAUACUAAUCAUCGCUAGUGAGGGCACUUGGACACUUUGCU
ensembl:lncRNA LINC02028 long intergenic non-protein coding RNA 2028